rnacentral:rRNA from 1 species
UACAGAGGGGGCAAGCGUUGUUCGGAAUUACUGGGCGUAAAGGGCGCGUAGGCGGCCUUCUAUGUCGAACGUGAAAUCCCCGGGCUCAACCCGGGAACUGCGUCCGAUACUGGAAGGCUUGAAUCCGGGAGAGGGAUGCGGAAUUCCAGGUGUAGCGGUGAAAUGCGUAGAUAUCUGGAGGAACACCGGUGGCGAGGGCGGCAUCCUGGACCGGCAUUGACGCUGAGGCGCGAAAGCCAGGGGAGCAAACGGG